rnacentral:lncRNA from 1 species
UUUUCCGUAUUUGCAUUUUCAAUGAAAAAAAUAUAUGAUUGCUAUUAUAAAAUGGAAACACAUUAAUUAAAAAUAUAAAACAUCAUCCAAAUACAUUAAGUAUAAAUUCAACACCUUAGUCUCAAAAUAUAACUUAAUAAAACACUAAAGAGUCUUCAAAUAGAUUUAACUUGUAUGGACUGUGCUGCUGCUCUCCAAAACCUGUUAAAAAUAAUAAAUUAAGUCAAAUUAGUUUUAUAUUGCAAAGUCAAUAUACAUGAACAAAUUUAAAAAAAAAUUAUAACAAAAAUUAUAUCAUAUUUACCUCAUCAUCAGAAUCAGAUUCCCCAAAAGAUUGCAGUCGCUUAUCUUUAAAAUCUAAAUAUUGCUUUGGUCCAGUAAUACCA